CCGGAAGACGCGUGACAGCUGCAAACAGCUCUUCCUUCCUGAGACCGUAUCAACCUUACUGAGCCGCCGGGAACUAAUGUGCAUAAAGGGGCUGAAAAAUCUUUCUAUACAGCAGUUCACACUGUCCAUAUAUGCCAGUGAUCACGCGUGAUGUGAACAUGUGAAGAAACAGAGACUCAGCCGUCAUCCGAAUGUAAGAUCUGCAAUAGAUGCCACAAGUAUCACCUUUGCCAGGCUUCACCCACAGAUGGACGCAGUAGUGUAAAAUAUAUAUUGCCCAAUCAGUUUUUUGACUUUAUAGUCGGUUACAUUAUAUAAUUACGGUACCUACAAAUAAAAUGUUAAGGUUGUGCACUAA